ACUUCCAUAGCUCAACAGAAUAGAGCAACAGAUUACGAAUCUGUAGGUUACUGGUUUGAAUCCAGUUGGAAGUUCCA
rnacentral:tRNA from 1 species